UACAUAAUAACAGUUCUCUAACUGAAUUAUUAAACCACUAGGUAAAGUCAAUACAUAAGUUCCUACGGCUAAAGCAGCAACCUUUGCUCCAUAGCCAACUCGUAGAUCGACUUCACCUUUUGCCAAAUCUCUACUCCUUCUCAGCCCCUGCACAUUUGUACAAAUGUGAGAACCGCAUCCAGUAUCUAAUACCCAUGAUGCAGAAGUAGAUGAAUUAAUAACAAAAAUACCUGAAGUUGAAGUCUCUACUCCAUU
rnacentral:lncRNA from 1 species